UUGGUUAGCGGCGGACGGGUGAGUAACACGUGGGUAACCUGCCCUAUAGACCGGGAUAACUCGCGGAAACGCGUGCUAAUACCGGAUAACACACCGAAGCGCAUGCUUCGGGGUUGAAAGAUGGUUCUGCUAUCACUAUAGGAUGGGCCCGCGGCGCAUUAGCUAGUUGGUGGGGUAACGGCCUACCAAGGCGACGAUGCGUAGCCGACCUGAGAGGGUGAUCGGCCACACUGGGACUGAGACACGGCCCAGACUCCUACGGGAGGCAGCAGUAGGGAAUCUUCCACAAUGGGCGAAAGCCUGAUGGAGCAACGCCGCGUGAGCGAAGAAGGUCUUCGGAUCGUAAAGCUCUGUUGUAAGGGAAGAACAAGCGCAGCAGUCACUGGCUGCGCCCUGACGGUACCUUACUAGAAAGCCACGGCUAACUACGUGCCAGCAGCCGCGGUAAUACGUAGGUGGCAAGCGUUGUCCGGAAUUAUUGGGCGUAAAGCGCGCGCAGGCGGUCUCUUAAGUCUGAUGUGAAAGCCCCCGGCUCAACCGGGGAGGGUCAUUGGAAACUGGGAGACUUGAGUGCAGGAGAGGGAAGUGGAAUUCCAUGUGUAGCGGUGAAAUGCGUAGAGAUAUGGAGGAACACCAGUGGCGAAGGCGGCUUCCUGGCCUGUAACUGACGCUGAGGCGCGAAAGCGUGGGGAGCAAACAGGAUUAGAUACCCUGGUAGUCCACGCCGUAAACGAUGAGUGCUAGGUGUUAAGGGGGUUUCCGCCCCUUAGUGCUGCAGCUAACGCAUUAAGCACUCCGCCUGGGGGAGUACGGUCGCAAGACUGAAACUCAAAGGAAUUGACGGGGGCCCGCACAAGCGGUGGAACAUGUGGUUUAAUUCGAAGCAACGCGAAGAACCUUACCAGGUCUUGACAUCCCGCUGACCGCCAUGGAGACAUGGCCUUCCCUUCGGGGACAGCGGUGACAAGUGGGUGCAUGGGUUGUCGUCAGCUCGUGUCG
rnacentral:rRNA from 1 species